rnacentral:rRNA from 1 species
AUUGAGCGCUGGCGGCAGGCUUAACACAUGCAAGUCGAGCGGUAGCACAGGGGAGCUUGCUCCCUGGGUGACGAGCGGCGGACGGGCGAGUAAUGUCUGGGAAACUGCCUGAUGGAGGGGGAUAACUACUGGAAACGGUAGCUAAUACCGCAUAACGUCGCAAGACCAAAGAGGGGGACCUUCGGGCCUCUUGCCAUCAGAUGUGCCCCGAUGGGAUUAGCUAGUAGGUGGGGUAAUGGCUCACCUAGGCGACGAUCCCUAGCUGGUCUGAGAGGAUGACCAGCCACACUGGAACUGAGACACGGUCCAGACUCCUACGGGAGGCAGCAGUGGGGAAUAUUGCACAAAGGGCGCAAGCCUGAUGCAGCCAUGCCGCGUGUGUGAAGAAGGCCUUCGGGUUGUAAAGCACUUUCAGCGAGGAGGAAGGUGGUGAGCUUAAUACGUUCAUCAAUUGACGUUACUCGCAGAAGAAGCACCGGCUAACUCCGUG